CAGCCGCCGCGGGAAUACGUAGGGUGCAAGCGUUAAUCGGAAUUACUGGGCGUAAAGCGUGCGCAGGCGGCUAUGCAAGACAGAUGUGAAAUCCCCGGGCUCAACCUGGGAACUGCAUUUGUGACUGCAUGGCUAGAGUACGGUAGAGGGGGAUGGAAUUCCGCGUGUAGCAGUGAAAUGCGUAGAUAUGCGGAGGAACACCGAUGGCGAAGGCAAUCCCCUGGACCUGUACUGACGCUCAUGCACGAAAGCGUGGGGAGCAAACAGGAUUAGAUACCCCUGUAGUCCCUGUCUCUUAUAC
rnacentral:rRNA from 1 species